rnacentral:lncRNA from 1 species
AAAGCAACUUUUUUCUCUCUUUUUUUCUCUGUGUGUGUGUGUCUGUGUGUGUGUGUGUGUGUAGGGCCUGUUCAUCUUCCUGAUAUAUGGGGUGUACAACACAGAGGUUCGGAGCACAGUUAAAAGGAUCAAGGAGAGAAGAAAAGCGCUACGUUUUUCAAACUGUGCCAGCUCCAGACCCUCCAGCUCAUUAACCAGCUCCCGGCCCGCCAGCUCCCCCACGCCUUCCCCCCAGGGCCCCCAAGGUCCCAGCCUGGACGAAGGGGGGGACAAGACCUGCUCCGGCCAGCCCAGCCCACUCCCCAACCCCACCUACCCCCACACCCUAGGCCUUGUGGAGGAGAACGCCAACAGAGGUCAGCUGUCCAUUCCUUGUGUCCCAAAGAGGCUAAAGGAUUCCCACAGUCAUGCUACAGGUGCCUUGAUCCCCAGAAUGGUAAUAACACACAUACUGUACACAUACACACAUACACAUUCAGUGCAUUCGGAAAGUAUU